rnacentral:lncRNA from 1 species
CCACAGGACUCAGCGGAGAUUUCUGGACAUCCUGUCCCACAGGACAUUCCACAAACUGCAGCGCUGGCCAUGCUCUCGGUUCCCCAGGAUCCACUCUAACGGCUUUCAAGUGUCUGUGGACAGAAUGGCAGAGGGAGAGGGGACCAGCCAGGGCCCCAGUCAGCAGAGCCAGUCCCUAAAACCCUUGCCAGGGAACCAUCUUCCAGUGGCUGGCAGGUGGGCAGGGGUGCAGCUGGCCAGCGUGACCUCCUGUAGGAGGGCACUGCCCAGGGACGAGUGAGGAAGAGACGGGCACAAAGCUUCACAGACAUGGUUAAGAUGCAGCAGACGCCAAAGCAGUUGUUCACGUUUCGACCAGCCACGGGUGUUCUUUGAAAGGAAUCUUUGAUUACUGACACCUUAGAGACACCAGUGCUCAGUUAUACUAACAAGGAGGCCCACCGUGAGCCCCUCACAAAUACUUUUAAAUCCUGCACAAGCCGUGCACCCCCACCGGGUACUGGCUGCCUGCCCUGCACCCAUACUCCCUUGCUGUUGCCCUGGGCAACUGCUUCCCGGCCUGCAGAGGGUGGCCUCUCUUCUCCUGGGAUCCGAUGCUCAUUCUUAAGGUUGGCUUGUUGGAGGGCCAGAGGAAGACGCAGGGUUUCUUCCUGGGAACAUCUCCUGCCCAUGGCUCUAACUGCUCCCUUGGGCGCCUAACUCACCUGUUUGGCCUCAGACAGGUGGCUCCAGGAAGGCCUUGGUCUCAGGAGAGCUAGAAGAGAAAACAUCAUGGGGUACCUUCCAUGGCUCCAGGUCAUUCUCCAAAAAUGAGACAGCCCCAGCCUCCUUCUAAGGUCAGAGUACUGUGCAGGCCCUGUGCUACAUGGAAUGGCCCAGUGCCCAGGACCAUCCACUUUGAACUUGUCCACCUGAACCCUGCACUUAGAACUGUUAAUGAGUCGGGUUUUUCCUGAGCCUUACUAGGCUGGGCUCUGGGCUACUCACUGAGGCCCCAGAGGUUGGUAGAUUCAAGUCAGGACCUGAAGGUACUCACAACCUCACCUAAGGACUGGUACAAAACUCAACACAGGGAGCAACAUAGUGGCCAUCUCAAGAGCAAAUGGUGCAGCAGUUGCCCUUCUCAAAAAGCAAGCUGGUUGGGGCCAGCAGAGCUCCCAAGUUUGCAAGAACCGUUGCAAUUUCAUUUGCAGAGAUUUCAAAGGCAAAUGAGGAUCAGCAUGGAAUAGCAAGUCUCAGAUGUUACUCUGGACCCCUUUAUACUCUUAAAAAGUAUUAAUACCAAAAGAGCCUUUGUUUAUCAUGUAUCUGAAACUCAAGAACCAGUAGACUUUUUGGUAGAGCACACUAUUGACAUUGACAGUGACACCUAUUAAUACUUAUUAAUAUCACUGUGCUAGAAAUUAAAACUGAGAUGUGUAAAAGAUCUUUAUAAUUCAUCUGAAAAUAACACAAAUCUGUUAUACAUUAACAUGAGCAGAAUAAUUUUAUGAAAAAAACUCCAAAAAUUUUUAAAAAUGUAAUGAGAAGGGUAGCAUCAUACAUUUUGGCAACUCGCUAGUAUCUGCUUAAUAGAAGUCAGCUGGGGUCUGUAUCUGCCUCUGUGUCCAGUCUAUUGCAAUAUGUUUUAUUCAUAAUAUAUUAAGAAAAUCUGGCCUCACACAUUUUAUGAUUGGAACAGGGAGAAAUAUGUCACAUAAUCAUAGACAUUCUUUGCUAUUACACCAAAACUCGACAAGUGGUAUUUUCUUAAAGGUUGGUUAUGACAUGAAAUCUGAAGCCAUCAGUGCACUUCUGUGCUCUCAUCUGCUAGUUGUUGAGCCCUAGAUGUGUGUUUGUCAUAUCAUGCAUGGGUCAUUUGGAGAAUAUGGGUUCACAGAGGGAGGUAGAAACCCCACAUUUUAACACAUCUAACUAUAUACUUUCAAAAGCUCAGGUUUGCUGAUGUCACUGCCCAGCUCAUCAGAAAAAUCCUUGUGUCAGGGGGAGCCCAUCAAGUGGCACGUGGACGUUUUCCAAGGUUCUGAUCUGUGCUUGAGAACUCAAGAGUUACCAUUGGUGAUAACCAGUGUUGGCUGUUUGCUGGAGAUGAGAAGCUCACUUUGUUCACUUUAGAAAAUACCUGCCAGAUACCUCCAUCUGAGUGCCUCCCUUGUCUGUUGCCCCUGGGCAGAGUGACUGGUAGAGCUCUUCUCUCAGACAGAGGCCACAGAGCUUCUACUGGGACCAGCCACCCUGGCAGACAUAGCAGCAGUGCCUUGGCCACACAGAACAGUGAUCGUGCUUGCACUUGGGGUCGAGGUCUCGAAAAUCAACUGCACUGCUCCAACAAGGGACUUCCUCAGUGAAAUUUCUUUUCCUGGAUGGCCUGGGGAGGAACCCAGUGACUCCUCGUUCUCUUGGGCUGUGGCUGUGAUCCUGCGGGGGGCUCCAGCUCUUUAACCCUCCCUGGACUUCUGCACCAUUAGUUAAUGAACAAAAAGGGUGAAUGACUCUAAGCAUCACCAGGAACAUCGCUUCUUUUAUAAAGAUGGAAAGGACACUCAGGGGCUGGUGGAACUUUGUGCAAUCAAUCGAGCUAUAUUCGUGAACCUGGCAGUUUUCUGCCUAUGAUUGGGAGGUGGCACAGUGGCACCUGUGACAAGGACAUGCGAUGUUCCAAGGACAUGCAAUGUUCCGAGGACAUGUGAUGUUCCGAGAACAACCGUCUGGAGAUGGUUUCUGUGCAGGUCAUUUUGAAAUGGUUAGAGUCUAGACCCAAGGCCCCGUUUUUCCAUUUAUACAGCCCCAUGCCUGCCCAACAAUUAGGGCGGAAAGACAGUUUGUUUUCAGUAGUGCUAGAUGGAUCAUUUCCACUCAAUUAUAAAAGCAGCUCAGUUUAUAUCUAAAAAUACUUUCCACCAAAAUUCAAGACUCGUGUAAUACAAUCAGGGCUCAAGAAUCACUCAGUGAAUUUGAAGUUCAAAUCUUUAUGUCUGAGCACCUGUUGUUAAUUUAAAAUAUGAAUUUGUCAUUACAGCUGGGAACCUAUAAAAUGUAGACGUGUGUAAGCACUCUCGCAGUUAUAGUUUAUGGAAGUGGCUCUCCCAUCCUCGUGGGGCGUGUCUCUACCUAGGGCUCCAGGACCCAGCUCAGUCAGGAGAUGUUGAACUGUGGAGGAAGGUGGAGCUGGCCCUUUCUGAUGGGAUGCACUGACAUUAGGGUGACCAGGUUGUGCUGACAGCUAGAGGUGGGGACCAGGGACAGGAGGCACCCACCCAGAGAAGCAGCAGAAAAGNAGAGACAGUCCCAGAGCUUCUC